AUUCUGGCAACUGAACUUUGGCAGUAAACGCAGCUUAGUUGUCUCAGAGGACUCACAAUGGGAAAUGUUUGUAGUUGCUACCUCAGAGAUCACGAUGAGCAAGUGGCGCAGGAAACUUAUUCUGAGGAUGUCCCAGGCGUUCACAUGAUGGACAAAGCCACAGAGACAAGCA
rnacentral:sRNA from 1 species